GGCUCCGUAGUACAAUGGAUAGUAUAUGGGUUUCCGGUACCCAGGAUCUAGGUUCGAUUCCUAGCGGGGCUACAA
rnacentral:tRNA from 2 species